GUGGUUGUGGCUCAAUGGCAGAACACUUGCCUAGCAUGUAUGAGGCACUGGGUUUGAUUCUCAGCACCACA
rnacentral:tRNA from 1 species